rnacentral:rRNA from 1 species
CUGAGUACGGCGGAACACGUGAAAUUCCGUCGGAAUCCGGGAGGACCAUCUCCCAAGGCUAAAUACUCCCUAGUGACCGAUAGUGAACCAGUACCGUGAGGGAAAGGUGAAAAGCACCCCGGAAGGGGAGUGAAACAGUUCCUGAAACCGUGUGCCUACAAGUAGUUAGAGCCCGUUAAUGGGUGAUAGCGUGCCUUUUGUAGAAUGAACCGGCGAGUUACGAUUUGUUGCAAGGUUAAGCGGAAAAAGCGGAGCCGUAGCGAAAGCGAGUCUGAAUAGGGCGCAUAAGUAACAGGUCGUAGACCCGAAACCAGGUGAUCUACCCAUGUCCAGGAUGAAGGUAAGGUAAUACUUACUGGAGGUCCGAACCCACGCACGUUGAAAAGUGCGGGGAUGAGGUGUGGGUAGCGGAGAAAUUCCAAUCGAACUUGGAGAUAGCUGGUUCUCUCCGAAAUAGCUUUAGGGCUAGCCUCGAGGUAAAGAGUCAUGGAGGUAGAGCACUGUUUGGACUAGGGGCCCUUCUCGGGUUACCGAAUUCAGAUAAACUCCGAAUGCCAUGUACUUAUACUCGGGAGUCAGACUGCGAGUGAUAAGAUCCGUAGUCGAAAGGGAAACAGCCCAGACCACCAGUUAAGGUCCCCAAAUAUAUGUUAAGUGGAAAAGGAUGUGGGGUUGCUUAGACAACCAGGAUGUUGGCUUAGAAGCAGCCACCAUUGAAAGAGUGCGUAAUAGCUCACUGGUCGAGUGACCCCGCGCCGAAAAUGUACCGGGGCUAAACAUAUUACCGAAACUGUGGAUGAACCUCUUUAGAGGUUCGUGGUAGGAGAGCGUUCUAAGGGCGGUGAAGUCAGACCGGAAGGACUGGUGGAGCGCUUAGAAGUGAGAAUGCCGGUAUGAGUAGCGAAAGAAGGGUGAGAAUCCCUUCCACCGAAUAUCUAAGGUUUCCUGAGGAAGGCUCGUCCGCUCAGGGUUAGUCGGGACCUAAGCCGAGGCCGAUAGGCGUAGGCGAUGGACAACAGGUAGAGAUUCCUGUACCAGUGCUAAUUGUUUAACCGAUGGGGUGACACAGAAGGAUAGGGAAUCGCACGAAUGGAAAUGUGCGUCCAAGCAGUGAGUGUGAGAAGUAGGCAAAUCCGCUUCUCGCGAAGCAUGAGCUGUGAUGGGGAAGGAAAUUAAGUACGGAAGUUCCUGAUUUCACGCUGUCAAGAAAAGCCUCUAGGAAGAGUAGUACUGCCCGUACCGCAAACCGACACAGGUAGAUGAGGAGAGAAUCCUAAGGUGAGCGAGAGAACUCUCGUUAAGGAACUCGGCAAAAUGACCCCGUAACUUCGGGAGAAGGGGUGCUCUAUUAGGGUGCAAGCCCGAGAG